AUAAUACUCCCUCCGUCCGGAAUUACUUGUCAUCNCCUCCGUCCGGAAUUACUUGUCAUCAAAAUGGAUGUGUCUAGAACUAAAAUACAUCUAGAUACAUCCAUUUCAAUGACAAGUAUUUUCGGACGGAGGGAGUAGUAG
rnacentral:pre_miRNA from 1 species